ensembl:lncRNA
AUGAUCUUCAGCUCAUGUGAAGGAGUGUUACAUCGGGGCAGCAGUGUGACUGUCUCCUGUGGAUCAAAUACUCUCAUGAACUCUCAUGUACUCUCAGAUACUCUCAUAUACACUCGUAUACGCUCACAUACUCUCAGAUAUGAUCAGAAACACUCUAAUACCCUCACAUACUCUCAGAUACUUCCAUACAUGCUCAGAUACACUCAUACACAUUCACAUAGUCUCAGAUACACUCAUAUACACUCAUAUACUCUCACAUACUCUCAGAUACGCUCAGAUACACUCAUAUACCCUCACAUCCUCUCAGAUACGCUCAUAUACACUCAUACACGUUCACAUACUCUCAGAUACACUUAUGUACACUCAGAUACACUCAUAUACUCUCACACAUUCUCACAUACUCUCAUAUACACUCAUAUAUUCUCACAUGCUCUCAGAUAUGCUCAGACACACUCUAAUACCCUCACAUCCUCUCAGAUACACUCGUAUACGCUCAUGUACUCUCAGAUACGCUCACAUACUCUCAGAUACACUUAUGUACACUCAGAUACACUCAUACACAUUCACAUUCUCUCAGAUACGCUCAUAUACACUCAUAUACGCUCACAUACUAACAGAUAUUUUCAUACAUGCUCAGAUACACUCAUACACGUUCACAUACUCUCAGAUAUGCUCAUAUACACUCAUAUACUCUCAGAUAUGCUCAGAUACUCUCAGCUACACUCAAAUACUCUCAGAUACUCUGAGAUACACUCACAUACUCUCAGACACUCUGAGAUAUGCUCACAUACUCUCAGAUACUCUCAGAUAUGCUUGCAUACUAUCAGAUACACUCGUAUAUGCUCAUGUACUCUCAGAUAUGCUCACAUACUCUCAGAUACAGUGACAUACUCUCAGAUACGUUCAUAUGCUCAUGUACUCUCACAUACUCUCAGAUACGCUCAUAUACGCUCAUGUACUCUCAGAUAUGCUCAGAUACUCUCAGAUACUCUCAGCUACGCUCAAAUACUCUUAGAUACUCUAAUAUACGCUCACAUACUCUCAGAUACUCUCAGACAUGACCAGAUACUCUCAGAUACUCUCAGAUACACUCACAUACUCUCACAUACUCUCAGAUACUCUCAUAUACUCUCACAUACUCUCAUAUACACUCAUAUACACUCACAUGUGGUUGCUGGAGAGCCAAAGCGUGUCAUUGACAAGGUUGAAGAUUUUACCCAGAAGCCCUCAGUGCUCAGACCUCCUGCUGCAAAACUGCUGAUGUAA